GACGAACGCUGGCGGCGUGCUUAACACAUGCAAGUCGGACGGUAAGGCCCUUCGGGGUACACGAGUGGCGAACGGGUGAGUAACACGUGGGUGAUCUGCCCUGCACUUCGGGAUAAGCCUGGGAAACUGGGUCUAAUACCGGAUAGGACCACUGCCUGCAUGGGUGGUGGUGGAAAGCUUUUGCGGUGUGGGAUGGGCCCGCGGCCUAUCAGCUUGUUGGUGGGGUGAUGGCCUACCAAGGCGACGACGGGUAGCCGGCCUGAGAGGGUGACCGUCCACACUGGGACUGAGAUAGUGCCCAGACUCCUACGGGAGGCAGCAGUGGGGAAUAUUGCACAAUGGGCGCAAGCCUGAUGCAGCGACGCCGCGUGAGGGAUGACGGCCUUCGGGUUGUAAACCUCUUUCAGCACCGACGAAGCGCAAGUGACGGUAGGUGCAGAAGAAGGACCGGCCAACUACGUGCCAGCAGCCGCCGUAA
rnacentral:rRNA from 1 species